GGAGUAAAUAUGCUUCUUCUGGAUUCUAAGGCGAUGCUCAUACCCGCCACCAUCAACGUGAACCGUCUUCCCACCUACCGGGGACACUUGAAGGUAGAUACCCGCUACAAGAUCGUUUAGGGUACUGUUAUACGAGCUGCAAAUCCAGCACAAACCUCGAGUUCAGAAGAUUCCUCACAAGAGCUAUCAAGUCCAGAAGAUUCCACUGAGUCCAAGAUCUACCAA